GAAAUGCAUCCAGAGACUAAAGCAUUUGCUGAUCCUCCAGCUUACAAAAGACGUACGAAUAUGAAAGAUAGAUUGGUUAAGGCCGAUGUAGGAAGUAACAAAAGUGUUCAGAGAACUUUUACUGGCCAACUUGACAAAGGGCUAAGUUGUUGCCCAAAAUGUUGCUGAUUUGGACCCUGUAUGCAUAAUAAAGGUCGUCACUGUUUAUCACAAGCUGAAGUUCUGGGCUUGGUAGGCCCUCUCCGUGUCUUGUGAGUGGAAGUUCAGGAACUGGCAGACGACUCAGGAACCAGCAGAC